GACAAACGCUGGCGGCGUGCCUAAUACAUGCAAGUCGAACGACGAAAGCCUUCGGGCAAGUAAGAGUGGCGCACGGGCGAGGAACACGUAGAUAAUCUGCCCUUCAGUGGGGAAUAACUCUCCGAAAGGAGUGCUAAUACCGCAUAAGACCACAGCUCUGCGGAGCAAGGGGUUAAAGGACUUAUUCGCUGAAGGAUGAGUCUGCGUCCGGUUAGCUAGUUGGUGAGGUAAUGGCUUACCAAGGCAAUGAUCGUUGGAUGGUCUGAGAGGAUGAUCAUCCGAACUGGAACUGGGACACGGUCCAGACUCCUACGGGAGGCAGCAGUAGGGAAUAUUGCACAAUGGGGGAAACCCUGAUGCAGCAACGCCGCGUGAGUGAUGAAGGCUCUAGGGUCGUAAAGCUCUGUCGUAUGGGAAGAAAAAAAUGACGGUACCAUACAAGAAAGGACCGGCCAACUUCGUGCCAGCCGCCGCGGUAA
rnacentral:rRNA from 1 species